CCUGUGCUUUACGGCUCAGUUUCAGACCCCAGGGAGCAGCUGACAUCUUGUGAAAAACUUAACAUUGCAUCCUUUCCGCGGGAAUUUAUCUCUGUUCUCACAAGGCGUUUCUACUUCCCACAAAGCAGGCCUGGCUUUUCAGAACACUCUGCUCGCCUCUCUACAGCUUCCUUCAAGGUCCAAAACCAGACUUUAAGGACAGAAAUCGAAACGGUCACGGACCUCCGGAGCGGCAGGUCCAGCUGGGGCCGGGGGCGGGUUCCUGGCGAGCCCACGGCCAGCUCGCGCCGCGCAGGGGAGGCCCGGCGCACUCCACCACGCUGGCCGAAGCAACCGGUUGCGGCGGCCGCUAGACGCUUCACCUCUGCGCCGUGGCCGCCUUGGCCCUGUGAAGUUCGGACCGCUGCGCGGGCGGCGCGCCCCCGAGUCCUGCUGCGGGUUCGCGUCCCGGCCCCGGAGCGAGCCCGGGGGGCGGGUCCGCGGGGGCUCGGCGGGCGGGAGCGUGGGACGCGCGGGGAGGGGCGCGCGGCGGGCCCAGCGCGCCAGGGAACUUGGGCGCCCCCGGUGCGGCCGACUGGCCACUUUCCUUUCACGCCCGGGGGCUGCCGUGCGCCCUGCUGCCGGCUUGAGACGGCCGGCCGCGUCUCGCUACCGCGGCGAGGCGCCCAGGCGCGCUCCUGCCUCCCGGCCGGCCAGCGCGCGGGGCCUCGGGGGCGCGCCAGGCCGCGCGCGGGCGUCGCGCUCCCCCCGCCCCGCCCCCGCCCCCAACGUGCCGCCGCCGCCCGUUGGCGCCUCAGCCCGCGCGCCCGCCGGCCGCCGGCUCCCGGCGGAUUUUCGUUGGCAAAGUUGCGCGGCCGCCUAGAAGGGGCCAGCAGGCAGUCCCCAGUCCCCGCGCCGCCGCCGCCCCUUCAGGCCGCCGCGCGGGAAGGCCCAGCCGGCAGCCCCGCUUUUUUACCUGCCGGGAGUUUUCGCGCGCUCGCUCUCUCAAUAGCUCGCUUUUCCCCUCUCGCGCUCGUUUUCUUUCUUUCUUUCCUUCUUUUCGUUCGCCCGCGCGGACGCUUUUUCCGUUCGCGCCGCCUGCGCUCGCCCGCUCGCGCCCUCCUUCCUGCUGGGCUCCGCGGAGCGGGGCGGCAGGCAGCUCUCCCCGCCCCCCUCCACCCGCGCUCCGGCGGAGGCGGCGGCCGCGGCGCUCCGCACUCCGACUCAUUCCAAUAUGGCACGGGCGCAGGGCGCAUGCGCCCGCGCCCCCCCCACCAUCCGCGCUCCUCCCGGCAGCCGGCGCCCCUCGCGCCGCGCGUGUGGCGCCCCCCGGCCCGGCCUCUCCAAGCCCUCCCGCGCGUCUGCCCGCCCCGCGGGACCUGUGCCGGAGGCGAGGCGACUGCAGACUUAAGUCCUGGGGGUCCAGAGCCACCCGCCGCCGCCGCCCGGCAUGCUCCAGCCCACAACUUGCCCUGGACACCCCCUGGGCCGUGGCACAGGGCACGCGGUGGCGCCUCCCGCCCCCGACGGCGCUACAGCCCGGCGCGUUGGGGCCCCGACGGAGAAACGCGCCUCCCAGGACCCAGCGCCCACGCUGCCCCUGCUCGGACCCACGAGGGAAGGGCCCCCUCACCUCACCUCGGGUUGGAUGGAACCCCGGGAACCAGGUGGCGUCCCGAUGUCGGUUUUGGCGUUCGGGCCGGGGCGAAGCGCGAUGCUGUCGUCCGCACGUGA
rnacentral:lncRNA from 1 species